UGAGACCUCCGGGUUCUGAGCU
rnacentral:miRNA from 2 species